UUUUUAAUUUUCAUUAUCUAUGCAUUAUCUUUUGAAAUUUUUAUAGUGAUUAAUUGAAUAUAUGAUUUUAAUGAUGAUUUAAUAUUUUUUGUAUUUAAUUAGUGGUUAUUUAUCUUAUUGUUAGCAUUUGUGAUUAAUGUUAGAUAUUUUAUGGGCAAAUAUAAUUUGCUUUUAGUAGCCUUUUUAAUUGCCGAUAUAGAGUAAUCUUUAGUGGCAAUUGUUUUGCCCUUUACCGGCCGUCAAUAUAAUUGCCGCUAAAUUUUUACCGACCCCACUUAUAGUGACAAUUAUUACAAUUGCCGGUAAAGAGAGUAGCGGCAAUUAUAAUCGCCGCUAAUCUAUGAGAUAAUUGCCGCUAAAAGGCAAUUUUGUUGUAGUGAGGGAUGUCAGAUCCGCCACAAAUACAGGAAAUCCACUGUUCACACGGACAGAGUCUCCCCUGUAUUUGCACGGCAUCGAACAAGUACAAGAUACAACCACAGUAUAUAAACAACCAUAUACAUUCACCACAUCACAUAAAUCGAUUCACAUUCAGUUAAUCACAAGAUUACAAUAUUUCAUCAUAAAUCCACAUCUAUCAGUUUAAAAACGUUUCUCACCCGAAAACUCAUUUGAAAUACUAAAACUGAUGAAAAACGAAAAACUCUUUUUAAAACUGUUUUCCACACGGAAACCUUUUCCUUAAAAACAAGUUAUCACGAGGGGUAGAAAACCAUUUCCAUAAUUUUGCAUAAAAACCACAAGUAAUUUAUUAGCUUCACAAAACCACAUAUAUCUAAUUAAAAUAAAACCAAGUGA
rnacentral:lncRNA from 1 species